GCCGGCUCUGGCGGCGCCACUCGGCCGACCGCGUGCAGCGCGUCCGCCACCGUCACCUCGCGGUCCACGGUCGCGGCUCAGUCAGCAGGACUGACGCUUUCUUGAGCAUUCCACAUGAAACAACUCCAGCUUAGAUGAGUAGAGUGCCACAAACCUUGAAAAUGGACUACUCGGCCGAUUUCAAUCACUCCAAUGUACUGUUUCGUCUCACCCCAAACUAUAGAACUGAUUGAAGCAUAACUCUUACCAACUAAACUACGGCCAAGAAAUCGGCUGUAGAGAGAACUACAUUUGCAUUUAUUACCAAACAAACAAAAGGGAGAAAAAGGUAAGUGUGAUGAUACCGCUACCACUGGAGUGCGACUGUAACGGCUUCAUAGUAAUUUACGUGCACAGGACCUUGCCGUGUAUCAUCAUUGUUAUGUGAUGGGAGAAAGCGUUGAAUUCAACUACUCAAUAAAAUCUCGAUGUCUAUAUUGUUGUAGUGCCUGUAUCUUUUACCGAUGAAAUCGUCCAUUUUGCCACGCGCAAUGCCUGCCGUGGUACGCUGCUCGUUUGCUCGCUUCCGUAAAAGCUGUGCAACGUUGGGAGUGCACAUAAAUUUCUUGCAUAUAUUUUUGCUGAGAAACCCUGACAAGCUUUUCCCACAACUUACGAGUAGCCCGCGCGAUUUCGCGGGGCCAAAUGCACUGAUUUUGGGGAAGAAGUGCCUUGUCUGGUCAGAAAUUUUGCACGCUUUAGGCAUUCUUUGGCGCAUUUGAGCCGUGCAGACGUUGCCGAGCUCGAUUGACCAGUGUGAAAAAACAACUGAAGCCGCUCCACCAAACCUGCCGCAUCCAGCCGUAGCCCGCUGAUGGGUUGUUUUGCUACACAAGAGUUGUCGCGCCGCGCCCGCUGCCGGCGCUCAACACGUGUGCGCGCAGUGCCGCGCGCGGCCCGAGACCGAG